AACGCACAUUGCGCCCGCCAGCACUCUGGCGGGCAUGCCUGUUCGAGCGUCAUUUACACCCUCAGGCCCUGCCUGGCGUUGGGGCCCUGCGCGCGCAGGCCCUCAAAGACAGCGGCGGGUGCGCCCGGGACCGAACGUAGUCAUUCUUCUCGUUCUGGCACCGCGGCGCGCUCCGGCCGUUAAACCCCCAACUUGCAGUUCGUUGACCUCGGAUCAGGUAGGAAUACCCGCUGAACUUAA
rnacentral:misc_RNA from 1 species